rnacentral:rRNA from 1 species
GCGCACGCUGGCGGCAGGCCUAACCCCUGCACGUCGCACGAACCUUUCGGGGUUAGUGGCGGACGGGUGAGUAACACGUGGGAACGUGCCUUUAGGUUCGGAAUAACUCAGGGAAACUUGUGCUAAUACCGAAUGUGCCCUUCGGGGGAAAGAUUAAUCGCCUUUAGAGCGGCCCGCGUCUGAUUAGCUAGUUGGUUGAGGUAAUGGCUCACCAAGGCGACGAUCAGUAGCUGGUCUGAGAGGAUGAUCAGCCACAUUGGGACUGAGACACGGCCCAAACUCCUACGGGAGGCAGCAGUGGGGAAUCUUGCGCAAUGGGCGAAAGCCUGACGCAGCCAUGCCGCGUGAAUGAUGAAGGUCUUAGGAUUGUAAAAUUCUUUCACCGGGGACGAUAAUGACGGUACCCGGAGAAGAAGCCCCGGCUAACUUCGUG